UACGUAGGCAGCGAGCGUUGUUCGGAAUUACUGGGCGUAAAGAGUGUGUAGGCGGUGCUCUAAGUUCGGUGUGAAAUCUCUUGGCUCAACUGGGAGGGUGCGCCGGAAACUGGAGUGCUUGAGCGUGGGAGAGGAAAGCGGAAUUCCUGGUGUAGCGGUGAAAUGCGUAGAUAUCAGGAGGAACACCUGUGGUGUAGACGGCUUUCUGGACCAUAGCUGACGCUGAGACACGAAAGCGUGGGUAGCAAACAGG
rnacentral:rRNA from 1 species